UACGUAGGGGGCAAGCGUUGUCCGGAAUCAUUGGGCGUAAAGCGCGUGUAGGCGGCUUGGUAAGUCUGCUCUGAAAGCCCGGGGCUCAACCCAGGAAGUGCACUCGAUACUGCGUGGCUCGAGUACUGGAGAGGUUGGUGGAAUUCUCGGUGUAGAGGUGAAAUUCGUAGAUAUCGAGAGGAACACCGGUGGCGAAGGCGGCCAACUGGACAGAUACUGACGCUGAGACACGAAAGCGUGGGGAGCAAACAGG
rnacentral:rRNA from 1 species